rnacentral:rRNA from 1 species
UACAGAGGUCUCAAGCGUUGUUCGGAUUCAUUGGGCGUAAAGGGUGCGUAGGCGGCGCGGUAAGUCGGGUGUGAAAUCUCGGAGCUUAACUUCGAAACUGCAUUCGAUACUGCCGUGCUUGAGGACUGGAGAGGAGACUGGAAUUUACGGUGUAGCGGUGAAAUGCGUAGAUAUCGUAAGGAAGACCAGUGGCGAAGGCGGGUCUCUGGACAGUUCCUGACGCUGAGGCGCGAAGGCUAGGGGAGCGAACGGG